GCGUGGAUAGUAUAACGGUUAUUAUCCCGGUUUCCCAUAACCUGGCUUGCUCUAGCAAGACGUCUACCGGGGACGCGAGUUCGACUCUCGCUUCACGCA